AUUUAUCAUUCAAAAGUCUUGCAUGAUAAAAAGAGUAAAUUUAUUUAUGGAAAAGUAUAAUGAUACAAAAAUAUGGCAUUUCUGUAAUAUUAAAACAGAAAUUAUAACAAUAUAAUAACUCAUUUUUAUUCAAACAAAAUUUUAAAACAGCAUAACAAGAUCUAUUAACAAUAUUUAUAGAAUAUUAAAGGAAAUAACUACCAUUUUAAUCGUUUUGUAUUGAACGACGAGGAAUUGCAUCGCCAUCUUCUUCUAUCAAUCUUUGAUGUACAGCACUGAGAGCCUGUAUAUCAUACAAAUUCAAUGCAAAACCAACUCAAUGUUUUCACGCGCAAUUCGAGAGUCGCAUCUUCGUCGCAAAUAAUUAUUGUACGAGGAUGCUGUUGAAAAGCUGAUACAGUCCACAUGUGAUUGAUGCCUUCUUCUAUGGCUUUAUAAAGAGCAAAUGCUUUAUGAGAACCUGU